UGGGGAAUAUUGCACAAUGGGGGAAACCCUGAUGCAGCGACGCCGCGUGAACGAAGAAGGUAUUCGUAUCGUAAAGUUCUGUCCUAUGGGAAGAUAAUGACAGUACCAUAGAAGAAAGCUCCGGCUAAAUACGUGCCAGCAGCCGCGGUAAUACGUAUGGAGCGAGCGUUUUCCGGAAUUAUUGGGCGUAAAGGGUACGCAGGCGGUUUAAUAAGUCGAAUGUUAAAGAUCGGGGCUCAACCCCGGAAAGCAUUGGAAACUGAUAAACUUGAGGAGUGGAGAGGAAAGUGGAAUUCCUAGUGUAGUGGUGAAAUACGUAGAUAUUAGGAGGAAUACCAGUAGCGAAGGCGACUUUCUGGACACAAACUGACGCUGAUGUACGAAAGCGUGGGGAGCAAACAGG
rnacentral:rRNA from 1 species